GACGAACGCUGGCGGCGUGCUUAACACAUGCAAGUCGAACGGAAAGGCCCUGCUUUUGUGGGGUGCUCGAGUGGCGAACGGGUGAGUAACACGUGAGUAACCUGCCCUUGACUUUGGGAUAACUUCAGGAAACUGGGGCUAAUACCGGAUAGGAGCUCCUGCUGCAUGGUGGGGGUUGGAAAGUUUCGGCGGUUGGGGAUGGACUCGCGGCUUAUCAGCUUGUUGGUGGGGUAGUGGCUUACCAAGGCUUUGACCGGUAGCCGGCCUGAGAGGGUGACCGGCCACAUUGGGACUGGGAUAAGACCCGGCCUCCUACGGGAGGCAGCAGUGGAGAAUAGUGCACAAUGGGCGGAAGCCUGAUGCAGCAACGCCGCGUGCGGGAUGACGGCCUUCGGGUUGUAAACCGCUUUCGCCUGUGACGAAGCGUGAGUGACGGUAAUGGGUAAAGAAGCACCGGCUAACUACGUG
rnacentral:rRNA from 1 species